rnacentral:ncRNA from 1 species
AUGGUUUGGCACCUCGAUGUCGGCUCGUCGCAUCCUGGGGCUGGAGUAGGUCCCAAGGGUUGGGCUGUUCGCCCAUUAAAGCGGCACGCGAGCUGGGUUUAGAACGUCGUGAGACAGUUCGGUCUCUAUCCGCCGCGCGCGUCAGAAACUUGAGGAAACCUGUCCCUAGUACGAGAGGACCGGGACGGACGAACCUCUGGUGUGCCAGUUGUCCCGCCAGGGGCACCGCUGGUUAGCUACGUUCGGAAGGGAUAACCGCUGAAAGCAUCUAAGCGGGAAGCCUGUUCCAAGAUGAGGUUUCUCACCCCCAUUGCGGGGUUAAGGCCCCCCACAGACCAUGGGGUUGAUAGGCCAGAACUGUACGCCUAGUAAUAGGUUCAGGUGACUGGUACUAAUCGGCCGAGGACUUACCAAC